CCUACGGGAGGCAUCAGUGGGGAAUAUUGGACAAUGGGGGGAACCCUGAUCCAGCCAUGCCGCGUGUGUGAAGAAGGCCCUCGGGUUGUAAAGCACUUUCAGUGAGGAAGAACGCCUGGUGGUUAAUACCCAUCAGGAAAGACAUCACUCACAGAAGAAGCACCGGCUAACUCCGUGCCAGCAGCCGCGGUAAUACGGAGGGUGCGAGCGUUAAUCGGAAUUACUGGGCGUAAAGCGCGCGUAGGUGGCUUGAUAAGCCGGUUGUGAAAGCCCCGGGCUCAACCUGGGAACGGCAUCCGGAACUGUCAAGCUAGAGUGCAGGAGAGGAAGGUAGAAUUCCCGGUGUAGCGGUGAAAUGCGUAGAGAUCGGGAGGAAUACCAGUGGCGAAGGCGGCCUUCUGGACUGACACUGACACUGAGGUGCGAAAGCGUGGGUAGCAAACAGGAUUAGAUACCCUGGUAGUC
rnacentral:rRNA from 1 species